AACGCGAAGAACCUUACCUGGGCUUGAAGUGCUGGUGGUAAGUCCUUGGAAACAGGGGCUGACCCGCAAGGGAGCCAGCAGAGGUGCUGCAUGGUUGUCGUCAGCUCGUGUCGUGAGAUGUUGGGUUAAGUCCCGCAACGAGCGCAACCCCUAUCUCAUGUUGCUACCUGCGCAAGCAGGGCACUCUUGAGAAACUGCCUUCGAUAAGAAGGAGGAAGGUGGGGACGACGUCAAAUCCUCAUGGCCCUUAUGUCCAGGGCUACACACGUGCUACAAUGGCCGGUACAACGGGAAGCAAUACCGUAAGGUGGAGCCAAACCCUGAAAGCCGGCCCCAGUUCAGAUUGUGGGCUGCAACUCGCCCACAUGAAGGCGGAAUCGCUAGUAAUCGCGAAUCAGCAGGUCGCGGUGAAUACGUUCCCGGGCCUUGUA
rnacentral:rRNA from 1 species